rnacentral:rRNA from 1 species
AUUGAACGCUGGCGGCAGGCCUAACACAUGCAAGUCGAGCGAGCGGCGGACGGGUGAGUAAUGUCUGGGAAACUGCCUGAUGGAGGGGGAUAACUACUGGAAACGGUAGCUAAUACCGCAUACCCUCAGAUGUGCCCAGAUGGGAUUAGCUAGUAGGUGUGGUAACGGCUCACCUAGGCGACGCGCCCUAGCUGGUCUGAGAGGGUGAUCAGCCACACUGGGACUGAGACACGGUCCAGACUCCUACGGGAGGCAGCAGUGGGGAAUAUUGCACAAUGGGCGCAAGCCUGAUGCAGCCAUGCCGCGUGUGUGAAGAAGGCCUUCGGGUUGUAAAGUACUUUCAGUCGGGAGGCGUUACCCGCAGAAGAAGCACCGGCUAACUCCGUGCCAGCAGCCGCGGUAAUAC